rnacentral:rRNA from 1 species
UUAGACAAGUCCACACAUAUCUUUUUACUCCGAAAUGCGUAGACCUAUAAAAAUUGCUCAGAGCCUAAUUAAUUAUGGUGAUGCAUGAAUGAACCCUAAAAAUUUUUUCUAGCGGCUACAUACCAAUCGCGUCGCAAUAUAGCUGAUUAUAAAUAAAUUUUGCCUUAACAACAAUAAGUUUUUAACUUAACCCCCUGAUCGAAGGCUAAGCUUUGAUCAUUUUAGUAAAGCCCAAAACACAUACAAUCUAAAUAGGCCUUUUAGCAGCCAUAAAAUGCUCCCCCGCAACUUUACCCUAUUAGUAAUAACUACUUUACUCUUUCCCCUCCCAUUUAUAUUUUUGUGAAACCCUAAACAACUACUACUCUGUCUAAACUAGUAUUUACCCUUAUUCUACCCCUACACCUCCCUACAUUAAACUAUACAACUCGGCAAACUGAAGCCCGACUGUUUAUCAAAAACAUAGCUCUCAGGCCCCCCAUUGAGAGUGUUUCCUGCCCAGUGAUUUAUUUUAACGGCCGCGGUAUCCUGACCGUGCAAAGGUAGCAUAAUAAUUUGCCUCUUAAUUAGUGGCUAGUAUGAAUGGAAGCACGUGGUUUCAACUUUUACAGUUUUACCCCUAAAACCUAUCCUUUAGGUGAAGAGACCUAAAUCCAAAUAAAGGACAAGAAGACCCUGUCGAGCUUUAUAAGGGCUUUUCACAUAUGAAAUUUACACUUAUUUGGUUGGGGCGACCUGAGAACAUAAUAAACUUCUCUCAAUCCCUAGAUUUAAGUAUCAUAAUAACGACCCCCCCAUGGUCUCUAACUAAGCUACCGCAGGGAUAACAGGCUAAUCCUCCUUAAGAGCCCAAAUUGACAGGAGGGUUUGGCACCUCGAUGUUGGCUUAAGAUACCCAUUUAUCGCAAAAGAUAAAAAAGGUAGGCUUGUUCAGCCUUUAAAAUCUUACGUGAU